rnacentral:rRNA from 1 species
AGUCACUGACAUUAGAUACCCGGGUAGUCCAGGGUGUAAACGCUGCAGACUUGGUGUUGGGAACCCUUCGGGGGUGCUCAGUGCCGGAGAGAAGUUGUUAAGUCUGCUACUUGGGGAGUACGUCCGCAAGGAUGAAACUUAAAGGAAUUGGCGGGGGAGCACAACAACGGGUGGAGCCUGCGGUUUAAUUGGACUCAACGCCGGACAACUCACCGGGAACGACAGCAAUAUGUAGGCCAGGCUGAAGACCUUGCCUGAAUCGCUG